rnacentral:lncRNA from 1 species
CAGUCUCAGCAACUUUUGAGACCCUGUUUCAAAAUAAAAAGGGCUAGGCAUGUAGUUCAGUGAUUGUACCACUGGCUUCAAUCCCCAGCACCAAAAAAAGAAAAAAGCCCACUCAUGGCCUUUUAGAAAACAUGAAAAUCUCAUACCUCAUUUUCAUUCUGAUAAGUACUUCCCUCUUAUCCUCAUCAAUGAAGAAUAUUUUAAAUUUCUUUUUCUUAAGUUUGUAUUAUAAAAACAAUCUUCUUUUCUCAAUAGCUAUGUUAUUAUUUUGAGUAUGACUUUCAAACCAUAUGUGGAGUAUAGAAUUCUUUUCUUGAAAUUGGUCAAGAGUUUAGGUAGAUGUGCUGGCAUUUUGGUUUAUCAAACAGCUUAAGAUAUAAUAGGCAUGCUGCCAGAGCUAGGCCCUAUUGUGUAAGCACUGUGGUCUUUGCUGCUAGCAAGCGAACAUUUCCCUCUGUCAUGGGCUUCAGAUUUAAAGCGGGUUUUGCUUUCCUAGGAUCCAGCUAAUAAUAUUGAGUACUUAGAAUGUGCCAGAUGCUCUGCUAAGUGCUUUAUAGUUUACAACAAACACUUUCUCUCAUUUUAUAAAUCUCAAAAUAACCUCCAUCCUACAAAGGAGAGAAGUCAGGAGAAGUUCAGGGAUUUGACCAGGAUCUUCUAAUGCAUAUAUGGCAGAAUCAGACUUGAGCUGUGUUACUUUUACCACAGCACCAUGCUGGAGGUCUUAAUCCGGUUAUUUUACCCUGUAAAGUCAAAUGGGAAUUUUUGAUUGGCCAAAGGUUUUUCCUCCUCAGAUUUGCUCAGAUUAUUAAUACUGAGAUUCUCCACCAGAUUUCCAAGCCUUUUUAACCCUCUUUGGAGUUGAACGCAUAUUUACUUCAAUUAUGGAAAUGUCUCCUUAAAUACAUGAAUAUUACAUGCAAGUAAUUAUGAAUUAUUAAUGUUGCCUGGGGCUUCUUGCUUUCUUAGGUUUUCAUGGUGUCCCUGAGCACUUGAGCCAUUUAGCUGAACAGUAGCUUCUUAGCCACUGUUGAAGUGUUCAUCCUUUUUCAUUAGAUGUAGGUCUUUCCUUCCUUCCUGAGUUCUUGUUUUUUGUUGUUUUGGUUUUGAUUUUGGUUUGUUUGUUUGUUUGUUUAGUACUAGGGAUUGAACCCAGGUGCACUUAAGCAUUGAGCUACACCCCCAACCCUUUUUGACAGGGUCUAAGUUGCCAAGACUGUCCUUAAAUUUGCAAUCCUCCUGCCUCAGUCUCCUGGGGAGCUGGAUUACAAGCAUUUGGCCAUCUGUGGAUUUCUUCUUAAUAGUACUUCUUAAUGGUUACUGUUCUGAUCUUACAGAACAGCUAAAACUCCUAUGUAUUCCCCCUGACUUCAGGAAAUUCUUUCACAAAUCCCUGACUCUCCCUUCCUUUCUCCUUUCUUGAAGAUUCUAUUCUUUUCCUGAUUUUAUAAACUCCUUUUGAUUGUAAAACUAAAGAGCAGGACCUGAGCAUUCCCAAGAUGUUUCUCUUCAUUUCUGCAGGCCACACAAAUGGAGAACUGUGUGCAGAGGUCUACCAGGACAGACUUCACACUGUCCUGCUCUACACAGCUCUAGUUUCUGAGACUUCACCUAGACUCAUUUAUGUCUAAUUUAAAUUUCUGCUUUUCCCUUUUCUGUCAUCCUCUGUACUUGUGUUACAAGUCUACAGUCUGGUUUUCUUCAUUUGUUUCCUGUCUCUUACUAACUUGCUUUCUAUGUGAGUUAACUCAUUUAUAAAAUGGGCAUGGUACUAGUCUUUUCUACUUCAAAUCCACGCUGAGAAUCAAUCAUGUAUCAACAGACAUGAAAGUGUUUUUAGAAAACAGGCAAAAAAGACUGAGUUAUGAAAACGUGUUACUUGUAAUUGAUUUCAAUGUAAUGAAGACAUGAAAAAACAUUAAUAUUUAUGUCCUUUAUUUCAAACUGUUUUGGAUUUUAAAACUUGGUGCAGUUUAAAGGUUUGGUUUUUGUUUUUGGUUUUUGGUGCUAGGGAUUGAACUCAGGUGCACUCAAUCACUGAGCCACAUCACCAGCCCUAUUUUGUAUUUUAUUUAAAGAUAGAGUCUCACAUUUGCUGAGGUUGGUUUUGAAUGUAUCGGGCCUUCCAGGCCUCUGAGAUUAUAGGCAUGCACCACUGCACCUGGCUACUUUAAAUGUUUUGUUGAUGCUAGUUAUAAUGGGAUUUGCCAUAUAGCUUUCAUCCCUUUGGUCAUCCUUUGAUCAUCCUGUGAAUCUUCUCCCCAUUUUCCACGGAUGUUCUUGAAUGUUGUAGAAUUCUGGAAGGGUCAUGAGUAAACCCUGAAGAUAUGAUGAAACCCAUAUACUUUGAUAUGAAAACACACUGUGAGUCUCUCCCCGUGGGAUGAAACCUUUGGUCUUCCCUUGUCAUCAGCAUGUAUAUAGGGAAUAUAUACGAUGAGCAGUU